GAUGAAGAACGUAGCGAAAUGCGAUAAGUAAUGUGAAUUGCAGAAUUCAGUGAACCAUCGAAUCUUUGAACGCACAUUGCGCCCGGCAGUAAUCUGCCGGGCAUGCCUGUCCGAGCGUCAUUUCUGCCCUCGAGCGAGUCCAGCAUCUAGGUGCUGGGCCCGCCCGGCGUUGGGGCACUACGGGAAGCCCUGUGCUGUCCCCCGUAGGCCCCGAAAUGAAGUGGCGGUCCUGCCGCGGCGCCCCCUGCGUAGUAUAACAGCUCGCUUCGGGACCCGGUGGAGGCCUGCCGUCAAACCUUACUCUCUAAGUUUGACCUCGGAUCAGGUAGGGUUACCCGCUGAACUUAAGCAUAUCAAUAAGCGGAGA
rnacentral:misc_RNA from 1 species